CCAGUGACUGAAGUCAUGUUGGGACACACACAGCGCUGCCAUCAUUACAGUCAAGUUAUUUUUAAACCUAGCCUACGGUUGCGGGCUCCUUUCCAUCAAAACAUUCAGCGUUAUUUCAGCUGAAUGCUGCCUUUUAAAUCCACCAGCGAGCCUACAGGGUGACUUUGGAAGACGUGAUACUUGGAUUCCACAUGUGCUGCUCUGGACCAGCUUGACUGCACGCUCUCGCAAAAGAAGGGAAGGAAUCAGAUCAACCUAUAAUGGAAUUUGAGAGAAUUGGCAAAGUCAAAAUCUAUAAAGCCUUCAGGUGAGCUGGAGCUGAAGGUGCACACAUAUCCGCAUGUAUCUUUUGAAAUACUUAAUCGGAUGGAUCUGAACAGCUGAUGCCUGGAUAUUCAAAAAUGGAUCAACUCUCUAGGAAUGCUAUUGACUGUUUCUGACCAGCAGUCAGGCAAAGGUGGCUUUUUUUUUCAAAAUGAGCCUGAGAGUGGAUGUUGAAGUGGAAAUGUCUCCAGCAACGUGCAAAGGUCUCUGGGAACAGAUUCGAUUCCUGCUCCUUCUCUUCAAGAAUUGCAAGCAAACUUUUAAUGCCGUGAUAGAGGCCCCAUCAGCGUCCCACCAGCGAAAGCACUGUUAAUUCUGAACAGAAGCCGAAAUCACUUAAAACAACCGGCAGCAUGAAGUUGGCAUGUUGCCUGACUGCAGUCAACGAGCACUGGAUAAUCGCUCAGCCCAAUCUCCAAGCCCAUUUUUGGGGCUGAUCAAAAUUAACCUCAGUAAUAUUUGUCAUGGCUUCUUCUUUGUUACUCUUAACCCUUCUGCAACUGCUGACAAUGGACUUCUUCAUCACUCUACAUAAUUGUUUUCACUACUGUAACAAUAAAAUUUGAUUAUCACAUUUGUACUUCUGGCUAAACAGGACUCAGCCUGUCAUGCUGA